ACCACUCUGGUACCCUUAGAAUGAACCAUGGGGACAAGGUUUAUAUUAAAACAUGGACUUAGCUACACGUACAAGGAGCUUCACAGAAACAUAAAACAGUUGGCAAAAGUGUUUGGUAGAUUGUGUCUCUUAUUGGAAUAGUGUUUUUUUCACCAAUAUGUUGUAUAUCAUGGAUUCUUAAACUGUGAUCAAAUGGAUCACUGCUGAUCUAAUGGAAUUUUAAUAGAAAUAAAAUUAUGGUGGGCGCACAUUCAUAGUAAAUAAUCCUGAAAUCCUUGCACGGUGAUGUUAAAAUGUGACUAUAAUGGUUGACUGGAGCUCAUACAGUUGUCAUAAAGGAAAAACCUCCAUUGUCAUGGAGCCACUUGAGAAAAGUAGGCUUGCCAUGUUUAUACACCUGCCACUUCACAGAGGAUUAUAAUUCUGAAAUAAAGCGUGGAACUGUGCCAACGAUCCAUCAGUCAGCUUCAGAUGUGGGAGCUGUAAGUUUGAUCAAGUAAAUUACUACAGCUGUUGAAUUCCAGUGGAAAAAAGAGCUCACGCUACACUGGGAACAUCGAGUUGAGGGCGUGUGGACGUAAAUGAGCACUUACUACCAUCUUGAGUCAAGCCCGCCCCAGGUCGGAGCAGCAGCACCACUUUACUUCCUCCAGCUUGGAUCAGCUCGAUGGCGCGUGUGUGGGAAAUGCCUCGAGCCGGCUCGCCGUUGAUCUCCACAAUCUCGUCCCCGACCUGCUCGAAACACAUGACAUUCCGCCAUCAUUAAGGGGACAGAGAGAGAUAUGCUGGCUUGGCGUUCCCACUGACAGCAUCCGGAUGGUGCACACUGACACAUCAUCAACAUGUGUCGCCAUUCAUGGCACACAUAACAGCCUGGAGGCAGUCUCUAUUAUUAGAGAUGACAAAUGAAUGCCAGCAUAUCAAUCUGUAAUCCUCUAAUCACAGCUGACAUUCCUCUGCAUGCCCACAGGUCACAGUCUGCCAGGAUGGAAUCCCGCGAGGAGCUUCUGUUCUUCUUUUAUCCUUCCCAUUCAGGCUAAUAACAAUAUGAUAAUUACAUCCCAGUGGGAUGAUUCGAUUAUUUUAUGAAGCUGUGCUUUCUCGAUAGGGUCACCAUGUGGAACCAACACCGGGGGUUUGAUUGCAGUUUUAUGAGCCAAAGAAUGAGACGAUGCAUAUAAGAAAAAGAUAAGUAGUGCAGUAUCUGACAAAAGUGAAUACACCGCCAACAUUUUACAGGAUAUCUUGACUACUGACAACACCACAGAAAGUAGACUUGGAUAUAGAAGAGCCCCGCCUAUCAUAGAAAGUGGUUUGAUGGUGCUAUCUGCAAAAAAACAAACACUGCAGCUAUUAAUCCAACAGAGGACACUCACAAGAAAAUUAACAUUUUCCAGCAGGAAGAAGCUGUGACAAGCCCUGAAGUUUUUAGGGCUUUUAAUGGGUGUGCUUAUUAUUCAAUUUUUUUUCUAUUCCAUUCAAUUCUCCUUCGCUUAUUCUGGUCCAGGUCACGGGGGACAGUCUCAGUAGGGAAGCCCAAGCUUCCCGGUCCCUGGCCACCUCCUCCGGCGUCCUGCAUCAUUGGGAGGACGCCAUGGCUUUCCAAGGCUAGUUGUGAAACAUCCUUCCAGCGUGUCCUAGGUCUGCCCUCGGGCCUUCUCCCAGCUGGGCAUGCCCGGAUCACCUCACCAGGCAUCCGGAUGAGAUGCCCGAGGAAUCUCAACUAGCUCCUCUCGAUGUGUAGGAGGAGCAGCUCUACUCUACUCUCUUAGGAUGACCUUCCUUCGCACAGUCAACAUCACUUGACCGUUACGGGCGGCGUUCGUCAUCAGGUCCAGUACUUGCUUGUGCGAGCGACCUUUCACCAUCACGCCAUCGAUGCCGAUGAGCUCGUCUCCCGCCCGCAGACGACCGUCUUUCUCCGCCGCCCCAUUGGGCACGAUGGCCCCGAUGUAGACCUGGGGAAAGACAUUCUGAGAGGGGAUCAGUAAUGCAGGAUGAUGAAUCAGUUGACAUGCAUGACAAUACACAUGUGAAUACCUCAUGGUGAUGUAGUGAAUUAUAGCGUCAUCAACUCUUUGACGAGUAAAUAAUACAUUCCCGCCACAUUACACUCAGCUCAUAUAGCGGAUGCGUUUAUAGCAACACACGAGCACAAGUCUUUGCUAUGUCUUCAGUGGCUUAUUUACACUUAUUAUGUUGACUAUAUUGAGUAAUACAAGUGUAAAGGUGACUAUAGGGAUGUUAGUUGAUGUCUAGAGGGCUCUAAUAAUGUUAAAAAACAUUUUUAGAUAUUUUUUAGAUUUUUUUAAAACAAUUUUUUUUGACAUUUUUAGAUUACUGUACAUAAUAAAUUGAUCAAAACUGAAGAUGAAUAUUAAAUAAAUCGCCCAUGUGAAGACUGCAUGAAUGCUAACAAUGUGACCUUUCACCUUAGCUACAUUGGAUUGGUUCUUGCUUUUAUAUGUGAUACUAUUACACAUACUUACUGGCUGUUGUGGACCUUCUCCGCCCAGAACACGAAAGCCAAAGCCUGUCUCAAUGUCUCUUUUGAGGAAAACAUCAAUGUCUUUGGUGUGGGGCUCUGUGGACGUCAAAAAAGUGAGGCAAUAUUUCUUUUUGAUUCUGAGUGGUUAUAUUUGUAAAGACCGUCUGUGAACUUACGACGGCUCUCCAGCAGGGCUUUGGAUUUUAGGUAUAACUCCGUGGCGUCCCGCUUGGGGGAGUCAGCAGCGGCACGCAGGGUGCUAGUAUUGGAAUGGUAAGGUAGCGCCUGGGGGGUGGAGUCGAUGAGAGCGUCCAAAGUCUCCGUGCUGGCAGUCAUUUCCUGCCUCUACACAAACAAAUCACACCAGCAGUAGUACACUUUAGAGGACGAUGAAAAGAUGGACAGUGGAACAGUGGCAUUGGUUGACUUCUCAAUUGUUAUUUCUGGUUCAAUGCUUCAAUGUUUUAAGCCUCAAGACAUCACUUGUACCCUUUUGUGGUGGCAUCACAAUAACAAAGGCAAAGGAAAAAUAAUGCGCUUGUGCAGUGCGUGAUUUUGGUUAUCACUUUCCCAUGAGAUUUGCUCCAUGGCGACACUUUAUCAAGGUAUAUGAAAAAGACUAAAAUAGCUUAGCUGCUAAUAACAAUGGAUGCAAUGCAUGCAUUGUUAUGAGACCUAUAAGCUCUGGGAUGUGAUUUCCCUGAAGAUGCUCCUUCAGGAUGAAA